GGAUGAAGAAUUUUUCUUAUUCGGGUUAAGGAAGAAGUAAGCUUUCCAGCGCAUAUUACGAAGGAAGGUCUCAGAUUUUUCAAUAAGUCGUUAUUAUCGUAGAGUGCUCAACAAAAAUUUAUCUUGGAGCGUAAUAAGAUGGAGUUGGUAUAUACAGAUGCUAAGGAAUGUUAUUGAUGAGGGAUAAUACAAGGACCAACCGAGAAUGUGGCGAAUUCUCCAUGAGAUUGUAGAAGGAUUAUUUUAUGUUCAUUCACUUUUAGAAAAGUGUUUUCUUUAAAAAGUCAACUAAUGUCAAGGAAAAAGAAACCGCUGACCCUUUACUAAGUUGUUUGCAGUUUUGCUUUCCUACACAAGUGGGGGGAAGACUGUAAUUAUGGCGCGCUAUUCCAGUCGUCCUUAUUUUUACUACGAUGUCGAGCAUCGAAGACACUUAAAAUGAAGCGAAGAACUUCCACAAGGCUACAACAAAGGAAGUUAUUGAAGCUUGAAGUGAACUAUGCUGAACCCAAAGAAAUCAGAUCAGAUGAAAUUGAUGGUAAUGAAGACAAUGAUAACACUCAAUAUGAAGAAAGUUGUGAAAGUUCAAGCAGUAGUGAAGAUCAAUCUGACGACAAUGACGUGCAUGAAAUGUCAGAGUACGAGAAACAGAGACUUGCCAACAUUAGAAAGAACAAAGAGUUAUUGGAUUCAUUGAAAAUUAACGA